UCCAGACUCCUACGGGAGGCAGCAGUGGGGAAUAUUGCACAAUGGGCGCAAGCCUGAUGCAGCCAUGCCGCGUGUGUGAAGAAGGCCUUCGGGUUGUAAAGCACUUUCAGUCGUGAGGAAGGUAGCGUAGUUAAUAGCUGCAUUACUUGACGUUAGCGACAGAAGAAGCACCGGCUAACUCCGUGCCAGCAGCCGCGGUAAUACGGAGGGUGCGAGCGUUAAUCGGAAUUACUGGGCGUAAAGCGCAUGCA
rnacentral:rRNA from 1 species